UACAGAGGUCCCAAGCGUUGUUCGGAUUCAUUGGGCGUAAAGGGUGCGUAGGCGGCGCGGUAAGUCGGGUGUGAAAUCUCCGGGCUUAACCCGGAAAGGUCAGCCGAUACUGCGGGGCUAGAGUGCAGAAGGGGCAACUGGAAUUCUCGGUGUAGCGGUGAAAUGCGUAGAUAUCAGGAGGAACACCGAUGGCGAAGGCAGGUCUCUGGGCCACUACUGACGCUGAGAAGCGAAAGCAUGGGGAGCGAACAGG
rnacentral:rRNA from 1 species